CCUACGGGAGGCUGCAGUGAGGAAUAUUGUUCAAUGGGCGCGAGCCUGACCCCGCCAAGUAGCGUGAAGGAUGCCUGCCCUACGGGUUGUAAACUUCUUUUAUAAAGGAAUAAAGUGAGGCACGUGUGCCUUUUUGUAUAUAAUUUAUGAAUACGGAUCGGCUCUCUCCGUGCCAGCAGCCGAGGUAAUACGGAGGCUCCGGGCGUUAUCCGGAUUGAUUGGUGUUAAAGGGAGCGUAGAUGGGUUGUUAAGGCAGUUGUGAAAGUUUGCGGCUAAACCGUAAAAUUGCAAUUGAUACUGGCAGUCUUGAGUACAGUUGAGGUAGGCGGAAUUCGUGGUGUAGCGGUGAAAGGCUUAGAUAUCACGAAGAACUCCGAUUGCGAAGGCAGCUGACUAAACUGCCACUGACAUUGAUGCUCGAAAGUGUGGGUAUCAAACAGGAUUAGAUACCCUGGGAGUC
rnacentral:rRNA from 1 species